GACGAACCGAGCGAACGUUGUUCGGAAUCACUGGGCUUAAAGGGCGCGUAGGCGGGUAUUCAAGUCUGUGGUGAAAUCCGGCAGCUUAACUGUCGAAUUGCCAUGGAUACUGGGUAUCUCGAGGGAGGCAGGGGUGCGCGGAACUAAUGGUGGAGCGGUGAAAUGCGUUGAUAUCAUUAGGAACUCCGGUGGCGAAGGCGGCGCACUGGUCCUUUUCUGACGCUGAGGCGCGAAAGCCAGGGGAGCGAACGGG
rnacentral:rRNA from 1 species